GGAAGCCGCUUUCCCGGCGGGGGUGGGCGGCCCAGGGACCGGGAGCAGCAUGAACAAACAAAAAAAAGCCGGAUUUGGACAAAUAAAAAGAAGUGCAUGUCAGCCCGAGUGUCCUGAAACAUGUUCCUGUAUUAGAAUCUCCAGGAAAGCUGGGGCCCCCACUCGCCACUACCUCAGGCUGGGCCCGCAGUCACGUGCUUCUCCCUACAGGAGGGUUCUGUGUCCUGAAUUCCCAAAGGGUGCAGCUGUCCCCUUGUCGCCUUGUCUGUGUUGAUGGUUCCACACUCUCUGGUCAGCCACCUGCCCCGCCAGUCUCUGCUCGCCCAUGGAUGGGGAUGACCACUCUAGCUGUGAGGGUGGCUUCCCGGGCUAACCCUGCUGCUGCUGCCCAUUGCUUCCAAGGCUGGGAUAUCACUUGGGGUUUGGGGUGAGGGGACAGUAAGGGGGAGCCCUGGUUGCCCUUUCCAGGAGAAUGAGUAUUUAAGUGCGGAGUUGUUUAUUACUUGACUUCAGCAGAGGCGCCAUGGUCGGGGAAACGCUUCAUGUGCCUUGGGUUAUAGGGCAAGUCCCAUCUGUCUGCCUUGAAUUUCGGUUUGGAGAAUCUGUAAGCUCCACACACGUGGAAGCGUCUGUGCCCCGGGUGUGGGUUCUGAUCUUGGUUGUGUUCGUGGCUGGACGCUGUCCUUGAGGCCACCCCUUGGCACCCUUCACAGAAGACAGUGGGGGUCGCCCUUCCCUGGCUGACCCUCCAGAACCGCCAGCCUCCCCUACCUCCCUGUGAAACCAGGGUACAGGGCAGGAGCCUGGACCUCUUUACAGUUGCCUUUUCUCUCUCUCUGUCCCUUCUCCAUCUUCCGAGCUCCUACUCGCCCUUCAGGACCCAGCUCGAAUGCCCCAUCUCUGGGAGGCGCCUUCAAUCUUGGGCUGCCCCUUCCGUCACACCCCCUGUCCCCUGUCUCCUGCCUCCCCUUCCUCCUCACACAAAGCCACCCCCGCCUGUUGGUGGCCUGUGUCUCCGCUGGCCCAGGGCUCUCUUGCCGUGGCCACCGUGGGUUUUGGCCUCGUGACCCAGUCCAUGCGUGCACAGCGCAAGUAGCUUCCCAGGACACCGAUUUCCUCCCCGGCCGCAGCUGCUUCUGGUCCUCUGCCCACUCCCGGGUUCUGCGCCUUCCUGCGCCCCCGGCCUGGCCACAGCUCGGUCACCCCAGAACCACCGUGUGCUGGGGAUUUGUCACGGGUUUGUCCUGACGUGUGAGGUCCAGCCGGGGUCCCCAUAGCCUCCCUGUCCCCGUCCCUGUCCCCG
rnacentral:lncRNA from 10 species